rnacentral:lncRNA from 1 species
UUUGGUCUGCUCCCUGUCACAAUAAAUUUAUUUUUGAUUUAACUUAUUCAAAAGUUUCAUUUGAUAUGUAUAUUUCAUAUUAAAUUUUUUAUAUAUGUUUAACUUUUUUUCUACAUGAUUUAGUAGACUAAUAGGUGAAUGAACAAUAAUUCUAUAUAAAACAAACUAUAAUUAAUGAAUAUUGAGAUAAUUACUACUCAAAGCAUGAUACACAAUUAGAAACACGCACACUACAUUUUUUAAGAG